AUACUUACCUGGCAGGGGAGACGCCAUGGUCACCAAGGUGGUUUUCCCAGGACAAGGCUUAUCCAUUGCACUCCGGAUGUGUUGACCCCUGAGAUUUCCUCAAAUGUGGGAAACUCAACUGCACAAUUUGUGGUAGUGGGGGACUGCAUUCGCACUCUCCCCAA
rnacentral:snRNA from 1 species